UACUUACUAUCAAGGCUACGUCCGCACA
rnacentral:sRNA from 1 species